CCUACGGGUGGCAGCAGUGGGGAAUAUUGGACAAUGGGCGAAAGCCUGAUCCAGCCAUGCCGCGUGUGUGAAGAAGGCCUUCGGGUUGUAAAGCACUUUCAGUGGGGAAGAAAGCCUUGGGGCUAAUACCCUCGAGGAAGGACAUCACCCACAGAAGAAGCACCGGCUAACUCCGUGCCAGCAGCCGCGGUAAUACGGAGGGUGCGAGCGUUAAUCGGAAUUACUGGGCGUAAAGCGCGCGUAGGCGGUCUGAUAAGCCGGUUGUGAAAGCCCCGGGCUCAACCUGGGAACGGCAUCCGGAACUGUCAGGCUUGAGUGCAGGAGAGGAAGGUAGAAUUCCCGGUGUAGCGGUGAAAUGCGUAGAGAUCGGGAGGAACACCAGUGGCGAAGGCGGCCUUCUGGACUGACACUGACGCUGAGGUGCGAAAGCGUGGGUAGCAAACAGGAUUAGAUACCCUUGUAGUC
rnacentral:rRNA from 1 species